AUUGAACGCUGGCGGCAGGCCUAACACAUGCAAGUCGAGCGGAUGAGUGGAGCUUGCUCCGUGAUUCAGCGGCGGACGGGUGAGUAAUGCCUAGGAAUCUGCCUAUUAGUGGGGGACAACGUUUCGAAAGGAACGCUAAUACCGCAUACGUCCUACGGGAGCAAGCAGGGGACCUUCGGGCCUUGCGCUAAUAGAUGAGCCUAGGUCGGAUUAGCUAGUUGGUGAGGUAAUGGCUCACCAAGGCGACGAUCCGUAACUGGGCUGAGAGGAUGAUCAGUCACACUGGAACUGAGACACGGUCCAGACUCCUACGGGAGGCAGCAGUGGGGAAUAUUGGACAAUGGGCGAAAGCCUGAUCCAGCCAUGCCGCGUGUGUGAAGAAGGUCUUCGGAUUGUAAAGCACUUUAAGUUGGGAGGAAGGGUUGUACGUUAAUACCGUGCAAUUUUGACGUUACCGACAGAAUAAGCACCGGCUAACUCUGUGCCAGCCGCCGCGGUAACAC
rnacentral:rRNA from 1 species